GCGAACGCUGGCGGCAGGCCUAACACAUGCAAGUCGAACGGAUCCUUCGGGAUUAGUGGCGGACGGGUGAGUAACACGUGGGAACGUGCCCUUUGGUUCGGAACAACUCAGGGAAACUUGAGCUAAUACCGGAUGUGCCCUUCGGGGGAAAGAUUUAUCGCCAUUGGAGCGGCCCGCGUCUGAUUAGCUAGUUGGUGAGGUAACGGCCCACCAAGGCGACGAUCAGUAGCUGGUCUGAGAGGAUGAUCAGCCACACUGGGACUGAGACACGGCCCAGACGCCUACGGGAGGCAGCAGUGGGGAAUCUUGCGCAAUGGGCGAAAGCCUGACGCAGCCAUGCCGCGUGAAUGAUGAAGGUCUUAGGAUUGUAAAAUUCUUUCAGCGGGGACGAUAAUGACGGUACCCGCAGAAGAAGCUCCGGCUAACUUCGUG
rnacentral:rRNA from 1 species